CUAGCGUUGUUCGGAUUUACUGGGCGUAAAGCGCGCGUAGGCGGAUCGCUAAGUCAGGGGUGAAAUCCCAGGGCUCAACCCUGGAACUGCCUUUGAUACUGACGAUCUGGAGAUCGGGAGAGGUUGGUGGAAUUCCGAGUGUAGAGGUGAAAUUCGUAGAUAUUCGCAAGAACACCAGUGGCGAAGGCGGCUCACUGGCCCGGUACUGACGCUGAGGUGCGAAAGCGUGGGGAGCAAACAGG
rnacentral:rRNA from 1 species